rnacentral:tRNA from 1 species
GGAGCAGUGGCUCAGUGGUAGAGCUCCUGCUUCGCAUGCGGGGAGGUCUGGGUUCGAUUCCCGGUUGCUUCC